rnacentral:rRNA from 1 species
CCUACGGGUGGCAGCAGUGAGGAAUAUUGGUCAAUGGGCGCUAGCCUGAACCAGCCAAGCAGCGUGAAGGAUGACUGUCCUAUGGGUUGUAAACUUCUUUUAUAUGGGAAUAAAUUGCAGUAUGUAUACUGCUUUGCAUGUACCUUAUGAAUAAGGAUCGGCUAACUCCGUGCCAGCAGCCGCGGUAAUACGGAGGAUCCGAGCGUUAUCCGGAUUUAUUGGGUUUAAAGGGUGAGUAGGCGGGUUGUUAAGUAGAUUGGUAAAGUUUGCGGCUAAACCGUAAAAUUGCAGUUGAUACUGGCAUCAUGGAGAACAGUAGAGGUAGGCGGAAUUCGUGGUGUAGCGGUGAA